rnacentral:rRNA from 1 species
AGAGCGAACGCUGGCGGUAGGCCUAACACAUGCAAGUCGAACGCACCUUCGGGUGAGUGGCGGACGGGUGAGUAACACGUGGGAACGUACCUUUUGGUUCGGAAUAACGCAGGGAAACUUGCGCUAAUACCGAAUGUGCUCCGUAAGGAGGAAAGAUUUAUCGCCAUUAGAGCGGCCCGCGUUAGAUUAGCUAGUUGGUGAGGUAAAGGCUCACCAAGGCUACGAUCUAUAGCUGGUCUGAGAGGAUGAUCAGCCACAUUGGGACUGAGACACGGCCCAAACUCCUACGGGAGGCAGCAGUGGGGAAUCUUGCGCAAUGGGCGAAAGCCUGACGCAGCCAUGCCGCGUGAAUGAUGAAGGUCUUAGGAUUGUAAAAUUCUUUCAGUAGGGACGAUAAUGACGGUACCUACAGAAGAACGCCCGGCUAACUUCGCGCCAGCAGCCGC